AACACAUGGGUACCUACCCCGAAGUGAGGGAUACCGGCGAGAAAUCGCCGACAAUACCGCAUAGGCUCUUUUUUGCAAAAGAGAGAGCAAAGUCUCUUUCGGGAGGCGCUUUGGGAUGGGCCUGUGGCCGAUUAGCUAGCUGGUGGGGUAAAGGCUCACCAGGGCGACGAUCGGUAGCUGGUCUGAGAGGACGAUCAGCCACACUGGGAUUGAGAACGGCCCAG
rnacentral:rRNA from 1 species